UACGGGGGGGGCAAGCGUUGUUCGGAAUUACUGGGCGUAAAGGGCGUGUAGGCGGCCUAGCAAGUCAGCUGUGAAAUCCCCAGGCUCAACUUGGGAAUUGCAUCUGAAACUGCCGGGCUAGAGUUCAGGAGAGGAGGGCGGAACUCCCAGUGUAGCGGUGAAAUGCGUAGAUAUUGGGAGGAACACCGGUGGCGAAGGCGGCUCUCUGGACUGAAACUGACGCUGAGGCGCGAAAGCCAGGGGAGCGAACGGG
rnacentral:rRNA from 1 species